rnacentral:rRNA from 1 species
GACGAACGCUGGCGGCGUGCCUAAUACAUGCAAGUCGAGCGCAGGAAACUGACGGAACUCUUCGGAGGGAAGGCAGUGGAAUGAGCGGCGGACGGGUGAGUAACACGUAAGGAACCUGCCUCAAGGAUUGGGAUAACUCCGAGAAAUCGGAGCUAAUACCGGAUAGUUCAACGGACCGCAUGGUCCGCUGAUGAAAGGCGCUCCGGCGUCACCUUGAGAUGGCCUUGCGGUGCAUUAGCUAGUUGGUGGGGUAAUGGCCCACCAAGGCGACGAUGCAUAGCCGACCUGAGAGGGUGAUCGGCCACACUGGGACUGAGACACGGCCCAGACUCCUACGGGAGGCAGCAGUAGGGAAUCUUCCACAAUGGACGAAAGUCUGAUGGAGCAACGCCGCGUGAGUGAUGAAGGUUUUCGGAUCGUAAAACUCUGUUGUAAGGGAAGAACACGUACGAGAGGAAAUGCUCGUACCUUGACGGUACCUUACGAGAAAGCCACGGCUAACUACGUGCCAGCAGCCGCAGUAA